CAGGAUACCCCUCCCAUCAGGAAAAUCAAGGCCCAGAACUCACUUGGCUCCUCCCCAGGAGAACCAAGCCCUGCGUCAGGUGCAGUGCUGCCUGCCCCACUGUGCCAUGGGCCCCGGGCUCCUCUGUUGGGCGCUGCUUUGUCUCCUGGGAGCAGGCUUAGUGGACGCUGGAGUCACCCAAAGUCCCACACACCUGAUCAGAAAGAGAGGACAGCAAGUGACACUGAGAUGCUCUCCUAUCUCUGGGCACAACACUGUGUCCUGGUACCAACAGGCCCUGGGUCAGGGGCCCCAGUUUAUCUUUCAGUAUUAUGAGAAGGAAGAGAGAGGAAGAGGCAACUUCCCUGAUCGAUUCUCAGGUCACCAGUUCCCUAACUAUAGCUCUGAGCUGAAUGUGAACACCUCGGAGAUGGGGGACUCAGCCCUGUAUCUCUGUGCCAGCAGCUUGGCACAGCCCAGCAGAGUCACUGACAUUCUGUAUAUAAACUUCCUGUCGUAGCUUUGACUUGAGAGCUGCAGGCCCCACCCAGUUUUCACU